GCAAACUUGGUCAUUUAGAGGAAGUAAAAGUCGUAACAAGGUAACCGUAGGUGAACCUGCGGUUGGAUCAUUAACAAAUAAUUUAGGCCUCUGGCUGCCCCAAAAGGGCGAAGGGGGGGAAACCUAAACAUUUGUGUGCACCAUAUCUGUCCUUGGCAGCUCGAGUGUCCUGGGUUGCGUAACUGCCCCAGGUACCUACGGAGGGAUUUCCCCUUGGGGACUUACUGAAGUUGGGCUGCCGCCUUUGAACAAACCUUUUGCUGUUUUUCUUUUUGCCUGACUUUAUUUGAUCUUUGUGAUUGAAUUUGAAUACAACUUUUGACAACGGAUCUCUUGGCUCUCGCAUCGAUGAAGAACGCAGC
rnacentral:misc_RNA from 1 species